CGCGGCCUAUCAGCUUGUUGGUGGGGUAACGGCCUACCAAGGCGAUUACGGGUAGCCGGCCUGAGAGGGCGACCGGCCACACUGGGACUGAGACACGGCCCAGACUCCUGCGGGAGGCAGCAGUGGGGAAUAUUGCGCAAUGGGCGAAAGCCUGACGCAGCGACGCCGCGUGGGGGAUGACGGCCUUCGGGUUGUAAACCUCUUUUACCACCAACGCAGGCCCGGAGUUCUCUUCGGGUUGACGGUAGGUGGGGAAUAAGGACCGGCUAACUACGUGCCAGCAGCCGCGGUAAUACGUAGGGUCCGAGCGUUGUCCGGAAUUAUUGGGCGUAAAGAGCUCGUAGGCGGUGUGUCGCGUCGGUCGUGAAAACUUGGGGCUCAACCCCGAGCUUGCGGUCGAUACGGGCAUCACUGGAGUUCGGCAGGGGAGACUGGAAUUCCUGGUGUAGCGGUGAAAUGCGCAGAUAUCAGGAGGAACACCGGUGGCGAAGGCGGGUCUCUGGGCCGAUACUGACGCUGAGGAGCGAAAGCGUGGGGAGCGAACAGGAUUAGAUACCCUGGUAGUCCACGCCGUAAACGGUGGGCGCUAGGUGUGGGGGCCAUUCCACGGUCUCUGUGCCGCAGCUAACGCAUUAAGCGCCCCGCCUGGGGAGUACGG
rnacentral:rRNA from 1 species